AGUCGAGCGGUAAGGCCCUUCGGGGUACACGAGCGGCGAACGGGUGAGUAACACGUGGGUGAUCUGCCUCGCACUUCGGGAUAAGCCUGGGAAACUGGGUCUAAUACCGGAUAUGACUUCUGGUCGCAUGGCUGGGGGUGGAAAGAUUUAUCGGUGCGAGAUGGGCCCGCGGCCUAUCAGCUUGUUGGUGGGGUAAUGGCCUACCAAGGCGACGACGGGUAGCCGGCCUGAGAGGGCGACCGGCCACACUGGGACUGAGACACGGCCCAGACUCCUACGGGAGGCAGCAGUGGGGAAUAUUGCACAAUGGGCGAAAGCCUGAUGCAGCGACGCCGCGUGAGGGAUGACGGCCUUCGGGUUGUAAACCUCUUUCGACAGGGACGAAGCGCAAGUGACGGUACCUGUAGAAGAAGCACCGGCCAACUACGUGCCAGCAGCCGCGGUAAUACGUAGGGUGCGAGCGUUGUCCGGAAUUACUGGGCGUAAAGAGCUUGUAGGCGGUUUGUCGCGUCGUCUGUGAAAACUCACAGCUCAACUGUGAGCUUGCAGGCGAUACGGGCAGACUUGAGUACUGCAGGGGAGACUGGAAUUCCUGGUGUAGCGGUGAAAUGCGCAGAUAUCAGGAGGAACACCGGUGGCGAAGGCGGGUCUCUGGGCAGUAACUGACGCUGAGAAGCGAAAGCGUGGGUAGCGAACAGGAUUAGAUACCCUGGUAGUCCACGCCGUAAACGGUGGGCGCUAGGUGUGGGUUUCCUUCCACGGGAUCCGUGCCGUAGCUAACGCAUUAAGCGCCCCGCCUGGGGAGUACGGCCGCAAGGCUAAAACUCAAAGGAAUUGACGGGGGCCCGCACAAGCGGCGGAGCAUGUGGAUUAAUUCGAUGCAACGCGAAGAACCUUACCUGGGUUUGACAUACACCGGAAACCUGCAGAGAUGUAGGCCCCCUUGUGGUCGGUGUACAGGUGGUGCAUGGCUGUCGUCAGCUCGUGUCGUGAGAUGUUGGGUUAAGUCCCGCAACGAGCGCAACCCUUGUCCUGUGUUGCCAGCGGAUUAUGCCGGGGACUCGCAGGAGACUGCCGGGGUCAACUCGGAGGAAGGUGGGGACGACGUCAAGUCAUCAUGCCCCUUAUGUCCAGGGCUUCACACAUGCUACAAUGGCCGGUACAGAGGGCUGCGAUACCGUGAGGUGGAGCGAAUCCCUUAAAGCCGGUCUCAGUUCGGAUCGGGGUCUGCAACUCGACCCCGUGAAGUUGGAGUCGCUAGUAAUCGCAGAUCAGCAACGCUGCGGUGAAUACGUUCCCGGGCCUUGUACACACCGCCCGUCACGUCAUGAAAGUCGGUAACACCCGAAGCCGGUGGCCUAACCCCUUGUGGGAGG
rnacentral:rRNA from 1 species